AACGCACAUUGCGCCCGCCAGUAUUCUGGCGGGCAUGCCUGUUCGAGCGUCAUUUCAACCAUCAAGCCCUAGGCUUGUGUUGGGGACCUGCAGCUGCUGCAGCCCCCUAAAAGCAGUGGCGGACUCGCUGUCAUUCCGAGCGCAGUAGUUACAUCUCGCUCUGGGUAUGGCGGCGUGCACUUGCCGUGAAACACUUUCUAAGGUUGACCUCGGAUCAGGUAGGAAUACCCGCUGAACUUAA
rnacentral:misc_RNA from 1 species